rnacentral:rRNA from 1 species
UACGGGGGGGAGCAAGCGUUGUUCGGAUUUACUGGGCGUAAAGGGCGCGUAGGCGGUCAGCACAAGUCAGUUGUGAAAUCUCCGGGCUUAACUCGGAAAGGUCAACUGAUACUGUGCGACUAGAGUGCGGAAGGGGCAACUGGAAUUCUCGGUGUAGCGGUGAAAUGCGUAGAUAUCGUAAGGAAGACCAGUGGCGAAGGCGGGUCUCGUGGACAGUUCCUGACGCUGAGGCACGAAGGUCAGGGGGAGCAAACGGG